CCUGAGUACGACGGAGCACGUGAAAUUCCGUCGGAAUCUGGGAGGACCAUCUCCUAAGGCUAAAUACUCUCUAGUGACCGAUAGUGAACCAGUACCGUGAGGGAAAGGUGAAAAGUACCCCGGAAGGGGAGUGAAAGAGAACUUGAAACCGUGUGCUUACAAGUAGUCAGAGCCCGUUAAUGGGUGAUGGCGUGCCUUUUGUAGAAUGAACCGGCGAGUUACGAUCUGAUGCAAGGUUAAGCAGAAAAUGUGGAGCCGUAGCGAAAGCGAGUCUGAAUAGGGCGAAUGAGUAUUUGGUCGUAGACCCGAAACCAGGUGAUCUACCCUUGGUCAGGUUGAAGUUCAGGUAACACUGAAUGGAGGACCGAACCGACUUACGUUGAAAAGUGAGCGGAUGAACUGAGGGUAGCGGAGAAAUUCCAAUCGAACUUGGAGAUAGCUGGUUCUCUCCGAAAUAGCUUUAGGGCUAGCCUCAAGUGAUGAUUAUUGGAGGUAGAGCACUGUUUGGACGAGGGGCCCCUCUCGGGUUACCGAAUUCAGACAAACUCCGAAUGCCAAAUAAUUUAACUUGGGAGUCAGAAUGUGGGUGAUAAGGUCCAUAUUCGAAAGGGAAACAGCCCAGACCACCAGCUAAGGUCCCAAAAUAUAUGUUAAGUGGAAAAGGAUGUGGCGUUGCCCAGACAACUAGGAUGUUGGCUUAGAAGCAGCCAUCAUUUAAAGAGUGCGUAAUAGCUCACUAGUCGAGUGACACUGCGCCGAAAAUGUACCGGGGCUAAACAUAUUACCGAAGCUGUGGAUUGUCCUUUGGACAAUGGUAGGAGAGCGUUCUAAGGGCGUUGAAGCAUGAUCGCAAGGACAUGUGGAGCGCUUAGAAGUGAGAAUGCCGGUGUGAGUAGCGAAAGACGGGUGAGAAUCCCGUCCACCGAUUGACUAAGGUUUCCAGAGGAAGGCUCGUCCGCUCUGGGUUAGUCGGGUCCUAAGCUGAGGCCGACAGGCGUAGGCGAUGGAUAACAGGUUGAUAUUCCUGUACCACCAUUAUUCGUUUUAAGCGAUGGGGGGACGCAGUAGGAUAGGCGAAGCGUGCUGUUGGAGUGCACGUCCAAGCAGUGAGAUUGAGUGUUAGGCAAAUCCGGCACUCUUAAGAUUGAGCUGUGAUGGGGAGAGGAACUUGUUCCUCGAGUCGUUGAUUUCACACUGCCGAGAAAAGCCUCUAGCUAGAAUAACGGUGCCCGUACCGCAAACCGACACAGGUAGUCAAGAUGAGAAUUCUAAGGUGAGCGAGCGAACUCUCGUUAAGGAACUCGGCAAAAUGACCCCGUAACUUCGGGAGAAGGGGUGCUCUUUGAGGUUCACGCUUCGAAGAGCCGCAGUGAAUAGGCCCAAGCGACUGUUUAUCAAAAACACAGGUCUCUGCUAAACCGUAAGGUGACGUAUAGGGGCUGACGCCUGCCCGGUGCUGGAAGGUUAAGAGGAGUGGUU
rnacentral:rRNA from 1 species